rnacentral:rRNA from 1 species
CCUAGUGGUGACAUCAUUGAGGCAUCUUGGUCAAUGGGCGCGAGCCUGAACCAGCAAAGUAGCCUGAAGUCUUCCUUCCCUCCUUUUUUUCCCCUUCUUUUCUCCCCUCCUCCAGUGAGCCACGUGUGCCUUUUUGUAUGUACUUUAUGAAUAAGGAUCGGCUAACUCCGUGCCAGCAGCCGCGGUAAUACGGAGGAUCCGAGCGUUAUCCGGAUUUAUUGGGUUUAAAGGGAGCGUAGAUGGGUUGUUAAGUCAGUUGUGAAAGUUUGCGGCUCAACCGUAAAAUUGCAAUUGAUACUGGCAGUCUUGAGUACAGUUGAGGUAGGCGGAAUUCGUGGUGUAGCGGUGAAAUGCUUAGAUAUCACGAAGAACUCCGAUUGCGAAGGCAGCUUACUAAACUGCCACUGACAUUGAUGCUCGAAAGUGUGGGUAUCAAACAGGAUUAGAGAAAAAGGUAGUC